rnacentral:rRNA from 1 species
GACGAACGCUGGCGGCGUGCUUAACACAUGCAAGUCGAGCGGUAAGGCCCUUUCGGGGGUACACGAGCGGCGAACGGGUGAGUAACACGUGGGUGACCUGCCCUCAGCUCUGGGAUAAGCCUGGGAAACCGGGUCUAAUACUGGAUAUGACUCCAUGACGCAUGUUGUGGGGUGGAAAGCCUUGUGCGGCUGAGGAUGGGCCCGCGGCCUAUCAGCUUGUUGGUGGGGUGANGGCCUACCAAGGCGACGACGGGUAGCCGGCCUGAGAGGGCGACCGGCCACACUGGGACUGAGACACGGCCCAGACU